rfam:Papio anubis isolate 1X1155 chromosome 4, whole genome shotgun sequence.
GUUCAAGUAGACAAAACAAUCCCAUCAUUAGAAAAAAGAAAAUUCUGGGCCCACUUCAGCAGCACAUAUACUAAACACUAGCAUGGCCCCUGUGCAAGGAUGAUGUGCAAAUUUGUGAAAUGUUCCAUAUAUUU